UGCUGAAAGAAGAAUAACUUUUUCCCCAGAUAGAAACAGGGUCAUGGGUUUUUGAACACGCACAACAGAAAGAUUCCCACAUACCUACCAGAGCCUGAAAAGAGCAAAUAUGGGAUGCAGUGACUAAGUCUCAGAUUUCUAGGCCAAGAAACAAGAGUCUCCAAUUAGAGUCCCUAAUCCACCUGACUUUGAGAAGAAACCCACAGAAAUAUGGAAGGAAACACCAAACAUGCCAAGAUGCCACCUGUGUAUGAAAAUAUCAGUAUAUGAAACUUUAGAAUCCAGUCUGCCGUUUCUGUUGCCAGACCUCAUAAAAAAAGAUGGGAGCUGUGAUUUCAAGAAAAUCUUCACGUGCAGCAGCGGAAAGCAGGGAGAAACCUUAGUGAAUGACAAAGAGGAUAUUUGAAAAGAAACAGGAACUUGUAAUGCAAAAUUACCUUAAGAUGCAGUUCCGUAUGUUCAUGCUGGUUUUAUUAAAGUCUCUCAGAAAGUGUUUUUCCAUUAGAGGGAUUAGAGGUCUCAUUUCUUCUAAUGUGUAUUUUUGUAGCAAUUUCAAAAGUAAUUGUUCUAUUAGGAAUAUAUAAAGACUAAAAAUGUCACCAAUAUUACAUCAAGGUUUUCUACAGACCAUGUUUCAGUGUGUAUGAAUGACCAAAUGUUCUGUUAGCCAAUAAAUACUUCACUUCUCGCUGUCA